rnacentral:rRNA from 1 species
GUGAGUAACGCGUGAAUAACCUGACUCAAAGAGGGGGAUAACAACGGGAAACUGUUGCUAAUACCGCAUGAGACCACAACACCGCAUGAUGAAGGGGUCAAAGAUUUAUCGCUUUGAGAGGGGUUCGCGUCCCAUUAGGUAGUUGGAGGGGUAACGGCCCACCAAGCCAACGAUGGGUAGCCGAGCUGAGAGGCUGAUCGGCCACACUGGAACUGAGACACGGUCCAGACUCCUACGGGAGGCAGCAGUAGGGAAUAUUGGGCAAUGGGCGCAAGCCUGACCCAGCAACGCCGCGUGAGGGAAGAAGGUUUUCGGAUUGUAAACCUCUGUCCCAUGUGACGAAGGAAGUGACGGUAGCAUAGGAGGAAGCCCCGGCUAACUACGUGCCAGCAGCCGCGGUAAUACGUAGGGGGCGAGCGUUGUCCGGAAUUACUGGGCGUAAAGGGUGCGUAGGCGGUUUGGUAAGUUGGAUGUGAAAUACCCGGGCUUAACUUGGGGGCUGCAUCCAAUACUGUCGGACUUGAGUGCAGGAGAGGAAAGCGGAAUUCCUAGUGUAGCGGUGAAAUGCGUAGAUAUUAGGAGGACACCAGUGGCGAAGGCGGCUUACU